rnacentral:rRNA from 1 species
CGGAUUGCAGUCUGCAACUCGACUGCAUGAAGCCGGAAUCGCUAGUAAUCGCGGAUCAGAAUGCCGCGGUGAAUACGUUCCCGGGUCUUGUACACACCGCCCGUCACACCAUGGGAGUCGGAAAUGCCCGAAGCCGGUGGCCUAACCGAUGAGGGAGGAGCCGUCGAAGGCAGGUCUGAUGACUGGGGUGAAGUCGUAACAAGGUAUC